AUGUCUAGUCGAAGGUCAAGACAACAAUCAGGAGGGUCUACAAGAAUCUCUGAUGACCAAAUUAUCGAACUUGUUUGCAAGUUGCGUCAACUUGUUCCUGAGAUUCGUAAUAGGCGUUCUGACAAGGUACCAGCUUCCACGGUCCUACAAGAAACCUGCAACUAUAUCAGAAACUUACAAAGAGAAGUUGAUGAUUUAAGCCUCAGAUUGUCUCAGUUGUUGUCCACAAUUGAUGCUGAUAGUCCUGAAGCUUCUAUCAUUAGGAGCCUGCUUAACCAAUGA